rnacentral:lncRNA from 1 species
UCCCUACUAGGGCUCUUAUAGCACAAACAAAGUACACUAAUUAGUAACUUAUCUCAAUCAACUCAACUUAUGUCCCUUGGGACAAUUCUUAGUUAGACACACACGGCCAAACUCAACACCCUUUUAAGGUUAGCCCCAUUUCACAUUUAGAUCUCAUGAAUUGACCUCAUACUGUAUAGCCUCUAACACCCACACAAGUCAAUACCAUUUAAUAGGUAAGGUUAGACUUCUAUGCCUUUCGCUUAGCAUCUAAGAUCCUCGAAGGCUUUGUUUGUAACUAGGCCAAUUUCCCUCAUAUAACACUGAAUUUGAUGGCUUUUUCCUGAGCCAACAUUGUCUUGAUAUCGUAAUUUCACAACUAUUGUCUUUUUUAAGCUAACACCAUUUAAAAUCUCGCAUCCACACAGUCACAGACCGCGUUUCCAUUCUAGCAUAAAAAAUGAGCCUAAUUAGAUUCUGAUACCACUACUAUCACAGACUGUGUUUUUCUUAUGCUGAAACAAUGCAACCACACGGCACCAAGACUACUUUUAGUCAAGGUCAGCCUUUCACAAGUUUUUU